rnacentral:tRNA from 1 species
UGGCGAGUCGCCAAGUGGUAAGGCACUGGGUUCUGGUUCCAGCAUUCGGGGGUUCGAAUCCCUCCUCGCCAGCCA